GCAGAAGCUCUAAACUCGAAUCCAUUUGUGAAGGAUUGUUUAUGCAUCCUGCAUUAAGCUGUUACUGGAUAAAAUGUAUAAACAGCUCUUGAAGCAGAGUCGGCAACGCAGCGCUCCUGCACAGCUUCCACAGGCAAGGAUUUCUGCUGUCUGUGUUUCAAAAACCCAAGGCUUAGCUCUGGUAGGGAAACCUGGCUCAGACUUCUGAGGAAAUGGCUAAGUUGUGAGAAAGAGCUGUGACAACAUCUGUAGAGUGGAGCUGUGCAAGAUAAGAAAGGUAAAAUUGCCAGCGGAGGUAGGAUUAUUGAAACUGGGACAGUUAGCAGCUUAAGGAUUCAGGAGGUAAAAAUGCCAGCGUGGAAAAGGAAAAACCCUUAAGGAAGAAGAGGGAGGUGGAAGUGAACAACUCAAGAAGAGCUGAGAUCCAGAGAGCAGCAGAGGCCAACCUGUGUGACUUUACCUGACACGGGAUCCUCCUGAGCCGACCUCAUUACUGACUCCUGCCUGGCUAGCAAGGAGUCUCCGAGUGUCAUAUGGGAAGGGGUAAAGACUGAGCACGCUAAUGUUUAGCCUAGUUCUUUAUUAGGUAGCUAUCUUCUGUAUGUGCCAAGCAAUGAAUAGUUGCUAUAUACUUUAAAGCUGUAUAUAUUAUGCUGUCAUAGUCUCUUUGCAAAUAGCUAAAGGUGUCCAAAGUGAUCCUAACAGUUACAUCAGUUGGUUACAUCAAACAGGUAAUGACUCAGCCAUGCUAAGUUUCUGUGGAUGCCACCAAAACAGGCUAAAAGCAAUUGGUUGCAGAGCUUGAAUGGGGAGAGACUUUUGAGGUAUAGUUUCUAAGAGGAAAGGUGUUAAAUGAUCUGUACUAUCCAUUGCAUUGUCCAGCCUUCGAAAUCUGACUGUUGAAGGGGAAAUUCUAAUUGUAACUGCUGAGCAGUGGUAAUUUGUGACUGAGGAGUGAUCUGGAAUGGAGGGCCAGAAGGCCCAGCUGCAAGAAGGGGUUAAACUGGCUGGAAGCAGGAAUGCCAGAGACAGAAGGACUCCUUGCAAGUAAGUGAAGUUUCCCUGGGUGAUGAGAUAAGAAACAGCCUCAGCAUUGUCUUGUAGACCAUCCUGGAAUGGAAGCACUCAGGGGCCCAAGCUCAGGGGCCACUUUUGGGCAGCAAAGCUGGGCUGGGGGAUGGACCCACUGCCGAGCUGAAGUGCUCCAUGCAACCACUCAGAAUUGGUGCUGAUGUGAGAGUAUGUAAGGAAUCUGCUUGUGACACAUCUUUGCAGACUCCACAUCUGUCCACGUAUUGUGGUAGGACUCUGCCCAAUGCAUUGUUCAUUAAUUUUUUCUUUUAUAUUUAAGCACAAACAUGUGUUUCACUUGCCUCAAGGGGUAACAUAAAAAUUCCCCAACACUGUAUAUGUCCCCUUUUCAGACUGGACCACUGUAUCUUUUAACAUCUCCUGAUCAGUCAGAAGCAAUAUGGUAGCUGACAGGUAAGCUAUUGUCCCAAACUGAAACUCUGAGCUGACAGUUGGGAAACUUAUAUAUGUCUUCAACCAGCAGAAGAGCUGUGAUGUGUGAAGUCUCUCUCCUCUACCUGAGAACUUUGCUGGAAAUACAGUCUUCCUUGCAUCAGCCCCAGACCUCUCACUAGAUUCUGUGGACCAGUGGCUAGGGCAUUUAUCUGGAUUACUGUCUCAGUUCCUAUCAUGAUUCUCCUUUUAUAUAAAGACUCUAUGAUGUAAAACAAAUAAACAGCUUUGAAAGCAGGGACUGAAACUUCCCAUGGCAAGUACUUCAGCCAUGAAUCCAGGCUAUAAAGCCAUUCUAAAAUAUGGACUUUAACCAGUCCUUUUCAAAGAAUAGUUUAUGUUCACCCAACUUUAGGGAGAAUCCAAGCUUUGUGCCAGUCUUGCCCUAGAUAUAUAAAUUUGGGGGGGGGGGGGGGGAGUAGUAGUAAAUUUCUUCUGGUUAAUGAGAUUUUUUCUUUGCCCUUAAUAGUGUUCCACUUGGUUUGUGUGGUUUCUAGAGGCCCCUUUUGGUAUAACAGUCCAUUUGUGAGAGUACGUACCCAGGCAGUAGCAUGUUUUGGCUUCAGUACAAUACAACACUAUCAUGGCACUCCCAUUCCUGGGGAACACUCAAAUAACAGGCUGUAAAUAAAGUAGGUGAAAUAUAUAGAAGGGUGAAAGCUCUAUUAACUGUUCUCCCAAAUCCAUGCAGGAUUAUAUAAAUCAUGGGGCAAGAGAUGCAAAGAGCCAAAGGGAAUCAGAUUUCACUUUGAUGAACUUCUUUGGGACAGAUCAAGACAGGGUUUCUGCUUCUGGCUUCCUGGGGUAUGAGUAUAUGUUGACUAUUUUACUAGGAAGCAGUCCUGGGAAGAGGACUCACUUUAUCUUAGAAAGUGUUCAUAGACCGCUAAGUUUACAGCUGCAGUGAACAGGCUGGACACCUACGUCAGCAAACUGCAUGAUACCAUGGAAGUGCUUAAAUUUUUUGUACAAGUAACUGGAAACAAGUGGACCUGUUUUCUCUCUGCAGCUCUCCAGAGGCUGUUUAGCAAACUUAAGCAGUUCUGCUAAGCAGCCUGAUCACCAUUUGAAGCUAGAUACAUAUAAUGUUGAUGGGUCAACAUUUAAGUUAGAAGGAUAUAUUGGCAGAAAUUAUUUCUUCCUUGAGAUGGUCUUGAAACUGCUCACAGUACAUUCUUGGAUGUAACACAGACAAUCUAGCCUGUUAUCCUUGUACACAGAAAUUAUUGCACACUAUUUUCAGUGCAUACUGCUUAAUGCCAGUGAGUGAACUCCUUUUCUGCAUUUAACUAACUUCCAAGUCAUCCUGCCAAAUAUACUAAUUGAAACAGCCUGUCUCCCACCUAAAAGAAGUAAGUAGAGGAUAAAAAAGCGGGGGGGAGGCAGAAGGUUAGGCUGACAAUGCAAAGACCAUUUCUGCUUGAAUACUGAUGAGCCAAGUUAUCUAUGCUGGCCACCUGCCUAACUAUUUGGUUCCUGCCAGUGUUUCAUUGCUUAUGCUGAUCUUUGGGGAACUGUUACUGUAUGAAUGCUGCUAAAUGAUUUUAAUCUUUAUUUUAAUUCUUGUUAGCUUUUAAUAUAAUUGUAAAAGGUAAUUUGUGAUUUGUGCAUUGUCUGAUUGCUAAAACCUUUGUGAGAUAAUAAAUUAAUAUUAAAAUUC